rnacentral:rRNA from 1 species
UACAGAGGGGGCAAGCGUUGUUCGGAAUUACUGGGCGUAAAGGGCGCGUAGGCGGCCUGCUAAGUCGAACGUGAAAUCCCUGGGCUCAACCCAGGAACUGCGUCCGAUACUGGUUGGCUUGAAUCCGGGAGAGGGAUGUGGAAUUCCAGGUGUAGCGGUGAAAUGCGCAGAUAUCGGGAGGAACACCAACGGCGAAGGCAGCACUCUGGGCUGGAACUGACGCUGAGGAGCGAAAGCGUGGGUAGCAAACAGG